rnacentral:rRNA from 1 species
AGGGAGCUUGACUGUGAGACCGACGGGUCGAGCAGGGACGAAAGUCGGGACUAGUGAUCCGGCAGUGGCUUGUGGAAGCGCUGUCGCUCAACGGAUAAAAGGUACCCCGGGGAUAACAGGCUGAUCUUCCCCAAGAGUCCAUAUCGACGGGAUGGUUUGGCACCUCGAUGUCGGCUCGUCGCAUCCUGGGGCUGGAGUCGGUCCCAAGGGUUGGGCUGUUCGCCCAUUAAAGCGGUACGCGAGCUGGGUUUAGAACGUCGUGAGACAGUUCGGUCCCUAUCCGCUGUGCGCGUAGGAAUAUUGAGAAGGGCUGUCCCUAGUACGAGAGGACCGGGACGGACGAACCUCUGGUGUGCCAGUUGUCCUGCCAAGGGCAUGGCUGGUUGGCUACGUUCGGAAAGGAUAACCGCUGAAAGCAUCUAAGCGGGAAGCCUGCUUCGAGAUGAGUAUUCCCACCCCCUUUGAGGGGUUAAGGCUCCCAGUAGACGACUGGGUUGAUAGGCCAGAUGUGGAAGCCCGGUAACGGGUGGAGCUGACUGGUACUAAUAGGCCGAGGGCUUGUCCUC